CUGUUAGCAUUAUGGAAUAUUUAUUCUAAAUGUUUAGAAUAUUAAAAAGAGAGAGAGAGAGAAAAGAAAGCAUAGAAACGAAACCACUACCCAUAUUAAGAAUUAAGUACAACAAAUACAACAGAAGCCUCUUGGGGAGCAGUCCUCCGUUUCAUAAGUGAUUUAUAAAAGACAUAAUG
rnacentral:lncRNA from 1 species